UACGGGGGGGGCAAGCGUUGUUCGGAAUUACUGGGCGUAAAGGGCCAGUAGGCGGCCAACUAAGUCCGACGUGAAAUCCCCAGGCUUAACCUGGGAACUGCGUCGGAUACUGGAUGGCUUGAAUUCGGGAGAGGGAUGCAGAAUUCCAGGUGUAGCGGUGAAAUGCGUAGAUAUCUGGAGGAACACCGGUGGCGAAGGCGGCGUUCUGGACUGCAACUGACACUGAGGAACGAAAGCCAGGGGAGCAAACGGG
rnacentral:rRNA from 1 species